rnacentral:rRNA from 1 species
UACGUAGGGUGCGAGCGUUAAUCGGAAUUACUGGGCGUAAAGCGUGCGUAGGCGGUUCGUUGUGUCUGUGGUGAAAGCCCCGGGCUUAACCUGGGAAUGGCCAUGGAAACUGGCGAGCUGGAGUGUGGCAGAGGAGGGUGGAAUUCCGCGUGUAGCAGUGAAAUGCGUAGAGAUGCGGAGGAACACCAGCGGCGAAGGCGGCAUCCUGGACUGGUCCUGACACUCAUGAGCGAAAGCGUGGGGAGCGAUCCGG